UCAUUCCUUGUCAUGAGGGGAGAGCGCUGCUGAAUGUACGUCUAGUGACAGUAGCCCUGCCAACACCAUAACAACACUUAAGCACCACCUGGGCUGCUGUCCAGGGCCUGGUGCAAUUUUUGGAAAC